AANGCACGGAGUCUUGCUCUGAGUGGCGANAUGGCGAACGGGAUGAUAUAAUNUAUCGNAACGUACCCUGCGGGUGGGGGAUAACGUANCGAAAUUUGCUGACUAAGACCUGCAGUGACAAUCUAGUGAUGAAAGUGGGGUGAUCGCAAGACCGNNCGCUCGGUGGAGGCGGCCGAUAUCUGAUGAGCUAGUUGGUAGGGUAAAAGCCGACCAAGUGCAUCGAUCAGGUAGCUGGAUCUGAUAGGACNACCAGCCAGACUGGAACUGGNACACGGUCCAAACUCCAACGGGAGGCAGCAGUGGGGAAUUUUGGACAAUGGGCGAAAGCCUGAUCCAGCAAUGCCGCGUGAGUGAAGAAGGCCUUCGGGUUGUAAAGCUCUUUUGUUAGGGAAGAAACGGUGAGGGCUAAUAUCCCUUGCUAANGACGGUACCUGAAGAAUAAGCACCGGCUAACUACGUGCCAGCAGCCGCGGUAAUACGUAGGGUGCAAGCGUUAAUCGGAAUUANCCGGGCGUAAAGCGUGCGCAGGCGGUUUUGUAAGUCUGAUGUGAAAUCCCCGGGCUCAACCUGGGAAUUGCAUUGGAGACUGCAAGGCUAGAAUCUGGCAGAGGGGGUAGAAUUCCACGUGUAGCAGUGAAAUGCGUA
rnacentral:rRNA from 1 species